GUAGUACUCCCUCCGUCCGAAAAUACUUGUCAUUAAAAUAAAUAAGAAAAGAUGUAUUUAUAAUUAAAAUACGUCUAGAUAUAUUUUCUUUUAUUCAUUUCGGUGACAAGUAUUUCUGAAUGAAGGGAGUACUUU
rfam:Triticum urartu cultivar G1812 contig316966, whole genome shotgun sequence.